AGUGAACGCUGGCGGCGUGCUUAACACAUGCAAGUCGAACGAGAACGGGAUAUAGCUUGCUAUAUUUGUCAGCUAAGUGGCGCACGGGUGAGUAAUGUAUAGAUAACCUGCCCUCUAGAAAGGAAUAACAGUUGGAAACGACUGCUAAUGCCCUAUAUGCCUUUAAUACAUAAGUAUGCAAGGGAAACGCUUUAGUGCUAGAGGAUGGGUCUGUAUGGUAUCAGCUUGUUGGUGAGGUAAUGGCUCACCAAGGCUAUGACGCCUAACUGGUUUGAGAGGAUGAUCAGUCACACUGGAGCUGAGACACGGUCCAGACUCCUACGGGAGGCAGCAGUGGGGAAUAUUGCACAAUGGACGAAAGUCUGAUGCAGCAACGCCGCGUGGAGGAUGACACAUUUCGGUGCGUAAACACCUUUUAUAUAGGAAGAUAAUGACGGUACUAUAUGAAUAAGCACCGGCUAACUCCGUGCCAGCCGCCGCCGUAAUAC
rnacentral:rRNA from 1 species